UACAGAGGGUGCAAGCGUUAAUCGGAAUUACUGGACGUAAAGCGUGCGUAGACGGUUAUGUAAGUCGGGUGUGAAAUCCCCGGGCUCAACCUGGGAAUUGCAUUCGAAACUGCGAGGCUAGGGUACGGAAGAGGGAAGCGGAAUUUCUGGUGUAGCGGUGAAAUGCGUAGAUAUCUGGAGGAACACCGGUGGCGAAGGCGGCAUUCUGGACCAUAACUGACACUGAGAGACGAAAGCCAGGGGAGCAAACGGG
rnacentral:rRNA from 1 species